ensembl:lncRNA
GCUAUCAAAAUUAUGUUGCCAUGGGAGCCAAACGUCCCAGUUGGACCAUCGAAGACCCUUCACAGAUGCCACCCAGCCCAGCUACUUCUGACAGGGGCUAUCAGUCAAACGAGUGGAUAAGCCGUAAAGCCAGACCUCAAGCUGGUACGAAAACCAGAGACAGGGAAGGGGAAGAAAGGAGGCCUAGAGAGAUGGACAAAAUGUGGGAAAGACCCAGAGAAGGAAGGAGGGAAGUGGAGCAAGAGAGAGAAAGGGACAGAGAGAGGGAGAAAUAUCCUGCGUACCAAGGUAGAGAAAGGGACAGGAGGAGAGAAGAAGGCAGACAUAUGAAUGGGAGACUUUCUUCAGUGCAGGACUAUAGCGAGCAGCGAGAACGAGUGAGAGAGAAAGGAGACACUUUUCCUAGGAUGAGAAGACAAAGUAUUGAAAUGGAAGGGAGACCAAGACAACCUGUGGACCUGGAUAAUAAAAGGUUUAUGGGAAGGCUGAGGGAACUGGACAAAAGUGAAAGCGAAAGAGAGAGAGAAAGAGCCAAGAAGAAAGACAGAGACAUCCAGAGAUACAGGGAAAGAGAGAAUGAGAGAGCGAGGAUAAGAGAAGAAAUGAAAAGGGACGGUGGAGCAAGACCAGAGAAGGAAUCACAGUCAGACAGAAGAAGAGAGAGAGGGUGGGACCUGGGAAGAAGAGAGAGGAGGGGAGAAAGAGACGUAGAGGUCAAUGACCGACAGUUCAUUAAGGCGAAAGAGGUAGAGAGAGAGAGAGCCAGAGCAGGACAGAGAGACAGAGAAGACUCUGCAUGGCUUUAUUCCAUGCAAAGAAGGAGAAUCAUGGAAGGAGACAGAGGAAACUUUUCUGAUCGGGAUGAGAGGGAUGAAAAGAGCAGGCCAGGGAGGAGAGAGAGACAUAGACACACAAAGAGUGAGGGAGACAGUGAUGGAGAGAUAUACGCAAAAGAGGUAAGAAGGAAAGAGAACGUAGAGUCUCCUAGUUAUGACCAAAGUAGACGUGAGGAAGAUAAAAACAAGCAAAGGUUGAGAGACACAGAGAGGUACAAGGACAUGGAGCCACGGAGGUCAAGAGACAGAGUACAGGAGAGAGAAACAGACAUGAUGCGGUCCAGGGAAAGAGAAAGGGAUAAGGAAUGGAUGAUGGAGAGACCUAGAGAGGGAUAUAGGGAGCAAUACAGAGAGAGAGACUUUGUGAGAGAAGAGAGAGGGCCUGACAGGCAGAGGGACGACAUGAAAUACUCUCAGGAUAGAAGGAGAGAGAAGGAAUUGAGUGAAAGGAAAAGAAGAGAGCGUGAAAGAGAGAUGCACCUUUAUCAAGAGCAGAGGGUGACAGAAAGACGGAGGAGUUGGGAGGGUGGAGAGACAAGAAGAAAUAGUCAAACACAGACUGAUGAACACAGGAAGAUGCAGGUGGAAGCCCAAAGCAGUGGAGAUUGGAUGUCAGGAAGUGAUGUAGAACGUGAACAAAAGGGGACAGAAAUGAAAGACCCUGAUGACAAAGAGAGAGAGAGCGCUGCUAACAACAACAGGGAAAAAAUGAGAAGUAGGGAAUGGCAGGAUGUAACAGUAGGGCAGGGGGGAGGAAAGGCAAGAGAAGGCUAUGAAAAAGAGCAAAUGGAGACUGAAAGGGACAGAGGAAGAAAUAAACCUGAGAGCAACCCAAGAGCACAGAGGAAAAUGUGGCUGGAGCCGCGAUCAGGAACAGCAAAAACAGAGUCUUUAGUGGAGGAAUUAAGAGAGAGAGAGAGAGCCAGAGAGAGAUAUGCCCGAAGAUACAAAGAAAAAAGAAGAUCAAUAGAUGUUGACGAGGCAAUAGCAAAUUCAAAGUAUGCAACAGAAAUAAUACCACCAGAGGACAGGUACAGGAAACUUGAGAGAGCUGGGGAGUUCAUGAAGGAUGUUGAUGGAGAGAACAUGGAACAGAAAGAAGAAGAGGGUGCAGGCAUGGAGGCUGCCUUAGAUAGCGAAGAGAGGUUUGAUGCAGAUUCGCAAAUGGAGUCAGAAAAUAUGGAAGGUAGCACAGAGGGGAGUGACAGAGGGGAGGAGAGGGGGAGUGGUAGAUAUGGUGACUCUGAGGGGGAAGAGGGAAGCGAGCAGGAGUGGGAAGUAGAAAUGAAGGAGAGAGUGACGUCAGCAGAUGAUGGUUUUGUAACUGUGUCCAGUGGAGGAGAUGAGGACGAGGCAGAGGAGGACACAUUUGAGGACUGUAAGGAAUUCUGGGAUGGUGGAGUUAGAGAAGAUCUCAUUAGGCAGUCACCUACGAGAAUCCAACAGAGUGAGGGAGAGAUUGAAACCAAAAUGACUGAAGAGAGAAGUGACCGCACUGUCACUGUCUUUUGUGUGGUUGGGCAACCUCUUCCCAGGUCAAGAUCCAACCAGAACCCGCACAUGGAACCAACGGAGCAGCAGGACGCUGGUCAGCACUACUCUCAGGCCCUUGGUGACGGCAGUGAAGUUGAUCAGCACCAUGAUGUAGCAGCAUUCAGAGACACAGGAACUGAAGAAGAGUCUAUACAGGAGAGCUGUGGUGAGACUAAUGCUGAAAAAGAGAACGAAAGCUUUGGCCAGACAUUGCCAGAGGAGAAGAUUACAGUAAACCAUGACACUACUUUGGAAAAAGCAGAAUGUGAUGAUGAGCUGACUCAGGAAGUUACAUCAUCUCAGGAUCUGCAGUUUACUGGCAGUGUGAGUGCAGAAAAAGACACUGAACCACACCCACCAGAAUCGUCUGAAACAUUUACACUACAUGCUGAGGAUCAUGAGUCGUCUCACGAGAAAAUGACAGAUGGAGAAAACAGACAGUUAGAGGUGGCCAGUGAUACAGUGCAGGAGAACAAGCGCCACUCUGCAGCCCCACAUGUCAAAUGGGCAAAAAACGUGUUGAAAGAGAUCUUGGGAUCCUCUGAAGAUGGAUCCCUUAAUACGCCUGAACCAGGCACCCAAACCGAGCAGCCAAGUGAUGGAGCUCCUGCAGAGGCUGAACCUCAGGAGCAUGAAGAGUCUACAGGCUCACCAAUUUAUGGUGUUGUCCAUAAACCUCGGAAGCAAAGCUCAGAGAGGAGGUGCAUAGAUACUGAUGUGAUGCACACAAAACCAGAGGACACAGACUGCGCUAGCCACCCCGGCACUAGGAUGGAUACACAAAACAAAAUUCUCAUACAAGUUGAGGAACUGGAGACUGAAGAAGAGCUGGAUCUUCUGGCACAUGGGAAAGAUGGGCUUGAUGAAGAGACAGACGAGGAAGAGUAUGAUUAUGACAGGCUCCUGCCCAGUCCUGACAUAAACAGUCUCUCCUCAGAAGGAGAGGCAGAAAAGGAGGGAACAAUUAAAAAGGAGGAGAAACAGAAGAAAAAAAAAUCAGUAUGGGGUGUUCUUACAUCAAGCAGUUUCCGAGAUUUGGGCAACGAGGCACGGGUGAGAAGGAAGGGUUUCCGAAAAAAUACUAUGGAAAAACACAGUGAAGAUGAAGACGGAGAAGGAGUUGGACGGGACCGCAGGCCCAGAGUGUUUACAACAGAUGAGGAUGAUUACGAUAUCCUUUGUCACAGCCUUAACGAAUCAGAGUUUGGGCAAGUGAACUUCCUUUAUGAUAUUUUCUAA